AGAAAAUGCAUUUAACAAAGCCACAUUUAAUAUACUAUAAAAUAAAUUUAGUUAAUUAAAUUUUAUUUUAAAAUUUUACUUUUUAUAUUUCUAUCAUACAAAUUUACUAAUAAAUGCCAUUAUAAAUAUGUGUUCAAUACAUAUAUUUAACAGUAAUAUAUACUAUAUGUUACAAAUAUAAUUAAGAAUAUUUUUAUCGAACCCACAGCAAAACGCGGCUUUAUUGCUAGUGUAUAUAUAUACAGACAGAGCAGAGGACCAUGUAAAAUUAAGGUUCAACGUACGACUACAAAUUUAUUAUUAUUGGCUCAAAUGUGCCAGCAUUUUACCUUGUAGCUGGAGGCUUAGUGAGCCGAAUCACGUUCGAAAUGUUGUGAGACCGGAUUUGGCCAAGUCAUAUCUGAAGUGGUGUGAGGUUGAUUGUGCUGAAUCACAAUCGAGAUUCGUGAAUGCUGUAUCUAUAUUUUAAGUGAAUUGGUUGCGUAUUUCUAACAAUUCGAGCUUUUGAAAUUAAUGGUUAAUGCCAACGAUCGAGUUUUUAGGAUUAACGGUUAGCACCAACAAUCCGACAAUUACAAUUUUGUUACGCAAUGUAUUCCUAUUUUAUUUACUACCAAGUUAUUCCAUUUUCUAUCAUACUAGUUAAUUUUCUCCGUCCAACUUCCACGUCUUAAACUUAGUUUCCACGUCAAUCACAGUUCCAUAGUUUAUUUAAUUUUCAGCAACAAAAUGAAUGAAAGUGUUAAAAUCUAUCUUUUAUAGACUUUCUCCAAUAAAAUCAAAUAUUUAGUGUUACACUACCAUCCAAAAUUUUAUCACUUUAUAUACAACAGAUUUUAUCACUUUAUACAACAG
rnacentral:lncRNA from 1 species